AGCAGUGUGGCUCAGUGGAAAGAGCACGGGCUUGGGAGUCAGAGGUCAUGGGUUCUAAUCCCUUCUCCACCA
rnacentral:tRNA from 1 species